GGAAUGGAGAGAGCAGGGUUGGGAAUGAUGGGGAUCAAAUGAAGACUAGGAAUGGAGAGAGCAGGCCUGGGAAUGUAUUCGUAGUUUUUUUUACAUUUUUUUCAUAUUAAUACUUAUUUUCAGAAUAAACAUAUUGGGGAUAUAUGAAUUAUAGCUCAUUGGAUUAGUAUAAUAUGGGCGCCAUUGAUUUUUUUAACAUACU
rnacentral:lncRNA from 1 species